GGGCCAGUGGUGGAAUUGGUAUACACGCGACACUUAAAAUGUUGUGCUGAACAAGCAUGUGGGUUCGAGUCCCACCUGGCCCA
rnacentral:tRNA from 1 species